AGCAGCCGCGGUAAUUCCAGCUCCAAUAGCGUAUAUUAAAGUUGUUGCAGUUAAAAGCUCGUAGUUGAAUUUCGGGAUCAGUACGCCGGUCGUGCCUUCGGUAUGCACUGGUGUCACUGGUUUCUCCCUUCUGAAGAACCAUCAUGCCAUUCAGUUGGUGUGGCGGGGAAUCAGGACUGUUACUUUGAAAAAUUGAGUGUUUAAAGCAGGCUCGCGCUUGAAUACAUUAGCAUGGAAUAAUGAAAUGGGACGUUUGACCCUAUUUUGUUGGUUUCUAGGAUCGACGUAAUGAUUAAUAGGGAUAGUUGGGGGCAUUAGUAUUCAAUUGUCAGAGGUGAAAUUCUUGGAUUUAUUGAAGACUAACUACUGCGAAAGCAUUUGCCAAGGAUGUUUUCAUUAAUCAAGAACGAAAGUUAGGGGAUCGAAGACGAUCAGAUACCGUCGUAGUCUUAACCAUAAACUAUGCCGACUAGGGAUCGGAUGAUGUUAAUUUUUUAAUGACUCAUUCC
rnacentral:misc_RNA from 1 species